AAUGAACGCUGGCGGCAUGCCCUACACAUGCAAGUCGAACGGCAGCAUGACCUAGCUUGCUAGGUUGAUGGCGAGUGGCGAACGGGUGAGUAAUGCAUCGGAACGUGCCUUUUAGUGGGGGAUAACGUAGCGAAAGUUACGCUAAUACCGCAUAUUCUCUGAGGAGGAAAGCAGGGGACCUUCGGGCCUUGCGCUAGAAGAGCGGCCGAUGUCGGAUUAGCUAGUUGGUGAGGUAAAGGCUCACCAAGGCAACGAUCCGUAGCGGGUCUGAGAGGAUGAUCCGCCACACUGGGACUGAGACAAGGCCCAGACUCCUACGGGAGGCAGCAGUGGGGAAUUUUGGACAAUGGGCGCAAGCCUGAUCCAGCCAUGCCGCGUGAGUGAAGAAGGCCUUCGGGUUGUAAAGCUCUUUCGGCUGGGAAGAAAUCGCACCCUCUAAUACAGGGUGUGGAUGACGGUACCAGCAUAAGAAGCACCGGCUAACUACGUG
rnacentral:rRNA from 1 species